GCCUGUUUAUCAAAAACAUGUCUUUUUGAAAAUAAUUUAAAGUCUAAUCUGCCCACUGAUAAUAUAUUGAAGGGCUGCAGUAUUUUGACUGUACAAAGGUAGCAUAAUCAUUAGUCUCUUAAUUGGUGACUUGUAUGAAGGAUUGGAUGAGAUAUAAACUGUCUUAAAAAUAAAUAAAUUGAAUUUAAUUUUUUAAUUAAAAAGUUAAAAUAAAUUAAAAAGACGAGAAGACCCUAUAGAGUUUUAUAUUUUAUUAAAUUUAAUUUAUUUAUAAAUUUAUUAAAUAUAAAUUUAAUAAAAUAUUUUAUUGGGGUGAUAAAAAAAUAAAAAAAACUUUUUUUUAAGUUAACCAUAAAUAAAUGAAUUUUUGAUCCAGUUUUAUUGAUUAUAAGAAAAAAUUACCUUAGGGAUAACAGCGUAAUUUUUUUUUUUAGUUCUUAUAAGAAGAAAAGUUUGCGACCUCGAUGUUGGAUUAAGAUAAAAAUUAA
rnacentral:rRNA from 1 species